rnacentral:miRNA from 1 species
AAGUUGAUAGCUUCCGAGAAUCAGU